rnacentral:rRNA from 1 species
UACGUAGGGUGCAAGCGUUGUCCGGAAUUAUUGGGCGUAAAGAGCUCGUAGGCGGUCUGUCGCGUCUGCUGUGAAAACCUAGGGCUUAACUCUGGGCGUGCAGUGGGUACGGGCAGGCUAGAGUGCGGUAGGGGAGACUGGAAUUCCUGGUGUAGCGGUGAAAUGCGCAGAUAUCAGGAGGACACCGGUGGCGAAGGCGGGUCUCUGGGCCGUAACUGACGCUGAGGAGCGAAAGCAUGGGGAGCGAACAGG